GAUGAACGCUGGCGGCGUGCCUAAUACAUGCAAGUCGAGCGAACGGACGAGAAGCUUGCUUCUCUGAUGUUAGCGGCGGACGGGUGAGUAACACGUGGAUAACCUACCUAUAAGACUGGGAUAACUUCGGGAAACCGGAUCUAAUACCGGAUAAUAUUUUGAACCGCAUGGUUCAAAAGUGAAAGACGGUCUUGCUGUCACUUAUAGAUGGAUCCGCGCUGCAUUAGCUAGUUGGCAAGGUAACGGCUUACCAAGGCAACGAUGCAUAGCCGACCUGAGAGGGUGAUCGGCCACACUGGAACUGAGACACGGUCCAGACUCCUACGGGAGGCAGCAGUAGGGAAUCUUCCGCAAUGGGCGAAAGCCUGACGGAGCAACGCCGCGUGAGUGAUGAAGGUCUUCGGAUCGUAAAACUCUGUUAUUAGGGAAGAACAUAUGUGUAAGUAACUGUGCACAUCUUGACGGUACCUAAUCAGAAAGCAACGGCUAACUACGUG
rnacentral:rRNA from 1 species